UAAAUUAGCAAUCGGCCUGAAUCUGUUGCUGCAAGCAUUUUAUAGUGAUAUUUGGAGCGUUACUAUGUCUUUAAGUGUUGAAGCGAAAGCGAAAUGUGUUUCUGAUUUCGGUCGUGAUAUC
rfam:Secondary endosymbiont of Ctenarytaina eucalypti chromosome, complete genome.